rnacentral:rRNA from 1 species
AACGAACGCUGGCGGCAUGCCUAACACAUGCAAGUCGAACGAGAAGUUCGUGUCUAGUGGAGCACGGGUGCGUAAGGCGUGGGAACCUGCCCUUAAGUUCGGCAUAACUCCCCGAAAGGGGUGCUAAAACCGGAUAAUGUCUUCGGACCAAAGAUUUAUCGCCUGUGGAUGGGCCCGCGUUGGAUUAGCUAGUUGGUAGGGUAAAAGCCUACAAAGGCGACGAGCCAUAGCUGGUCUGCGAGGAUGAUCAGCCACACUGGGACUGAGACACGGCCCAGACUCCUACGGGAGGCAGCAGUGGUGAAUAUUGGACACUGGGCGAAAGCCUGAUCCAGCAGUGCCGCGUGAGUGAUGAAGGCCUUAGGGUUGUAAAGCUCUUUUACCCGGGAUGAUAAGGACAGUACCGGGAGAAUAAGCUCCGGCUAACUCCUU